rnacentral:rRNA from 1 species
UACGAAGGGAGCUAGCGUUGUUCGGAAUCACUGGGCGUAAAGCGCACGUAGGCGGAUGUGUCAGUCAGGGGUGAAAUCCCGGAGCUCAACUUCGGAACUGCCUUUGAUACAGCACGUCUUGAGUCCGGAAGAGGUGGGUGGAAUUCCUAGUGUAGAGGUGAAAUUCGUAGAUAUUAGGAAGAACACGGUGGCGAAGGCGGCCCACUGGUCCGGUACUGACGCUGAGGUGCGAAAGCCAGGGGAGCAAACGGG